GCCAGGCAAGGUGGUGCACACCUGUAAUCCCAGCAACUCGGGAGGCUGAGGCAGGAGGAUCUUGUGAGUUCAGAGCCAGCUUGGUGAGGCAUUUAGCAACUCAGCGAGACCCUGUCUCUA
rnacentral:sRNA from 1 species